rnacentral:rRNA from 1 species
GACGAACGCUGGCGGCGUGCUUAACACAUGCAAGUCGAGCGGUAAGGCCCUUUCGGGGGUACACGAGCGGCGAACGGGUGAGUAACACGUGGGUGACCUGCCUUUAGCUCUGGGAUAAGCCUGGGGAAACUGGGUCUAAUACCGGAUAUGACCCUAUGGCGCAUGUUGUGGGGUGGAAAGCCUUGUGCGGCUAGGGAUGGGCCCGCGGCCUAUCAGCUUGUUGGUGGGUGAUGGCCUACCAAGGCGACGACGGGUAGCCGGCCUGAGAGGGCGACCGGCCACACUGGGACUGAGACACGGCCCAGGACUCCUACGGGAGGCAGCA